CGGUCGGCGCCCCUCGGCCCGCAAGGCCUCCCGGGAGUCGUGGUCUGGGCUCCGGCUGCCCUGCUCGCGGCGCGGAGCCGGGCGCGCCUCUCCCAACCUGUUUCCUGGGGUCUCUACUAUCGGCCUGGAUCUGCAGGUCCUCCGGGCGCCCGCUCCCCACGACGUGCCAGGCCCUGGGCCUGCGCCUGAUCCCUGCGAUCCCGGGCUCUGCCAGGCUGUUGGUGGAGACGCGAGGGAAGCACAGCCCGGCCCAUCUUCGGGAUCCUGGAGGAGGCACUCAGCCAGGACGUCUGCGAGGGCUCCCCGGAGGAAACGAGCUGGGAACUGAAAGGACUAGAAUGGAGGAGAGAGUUCCAGAAAGAGGGAGCCUGGAUGGGGAAAGUGCUUGCUUCGGCCCCCAUGUGCUGCAAGGGCCCCCAUGCAGACCUUCCCCCACUACAGGAACUGGUUCAGCAGAGCAUGUUCAAUCCAGGCCAGUGAGACUGGAGCACAAGGCUUGGAGGACAGAGAGGUUUCCCUCCUACGAGACCUGCCAGGGAGAGAUGGCCCUUCUUCCUCCAGACAUGUGAGGUUGGAACUGCUACCAGCUUGGAGACAGAGCUCCUGGAUCAGGCAUGUCCUGAAGUCUACCCUAUUUUGGAUUGCCAGUUAUAGAAGCUAAUAAUUCCCCUUUUGAAGCCCUCAGAGCUCCUGAGAGCCUCUCUUGGGACAGGUCAUCAUCAACGUAUUUCCUCGAUAUCAAAUGAAAUGGGUUUGAAUAACAACACAGGAUGUAAGAAA